rnacentral:lncRNA from 1 species
UUCAAAGAAAUGUCAACUUCUGAUUCCAUUCAAUAAAGAACAAAACCAAUUGUAUUUUUUUUUACUUUUCAUCUGAAACAUUCCACAUUUUAAUCUGAGCCUUGCAGACUUUUCAUUUGACUUUGGAAGCUGUUUUGGUUGCAUUGCAUUUUUAGAGAACUUCAUUCAUGUGAGAUUGGCCAUUCAAUUGCAGGUGCAGUUUUCUUUUAAUGUCAUGCUGUUUAGAUGAUAAGAAAUAUUAAGAAUUGGCUUUAGAUUUGUAAUUUUUUUCUCUUGAGUUCCUGCUAGGUUUUAUAUUCUAGUAGUCAAUGUUAUUUCAGUGAAAUGUAAAAAUAUUCCCGUUCUCUUUGACCAGUAUUAAUUUCUUGAGAACCUAUUGCCUGUCACUUGAAUCCUGUAGCUGUCAUACAUCUCUGGUAUAAGCAACAUUUGAUUUUUGAAGUGUGUAAACCAUCUAUAUUUUCAAGAUGUAAUUUUACAUUUCUGCAUUUCAAAACCAGUUUGGCCAUAAUUCUUGACGCACGCUUCUAAUUCAUGUACCUGCACAUGUGACCUUUGUGAGCAGAAAUUUGCAUGUAUAAUCUGUGUUUACUUGUAACUCUCUGGUUAUAUACUGCUUAUAUCUGUGGAUUCAAGUUACUGAAGUGAAUACCAAUAAAAAAAAAAAAAACUUAGGUCAUGUUGAUUGGUUGGUUAAACAUGUUUGGAUGUUAACCAAAAUAUUUGUCCGUUGUGGCUUUUUAUUCACUGUUAAAUUUUUAUGCAUGCUUUAACAAAUUAUUCUUAAGUCUAUAUUGGUGUUCUAAAAACUACUAAAGAUUUUGGUUUAGAGCUGAUGGACUUCUUGUUCUUGUUACAUAACUAAAAAUGAGACUUUUUCUUUAACCUUACAGUUUUAAAUCUGAGGAUAAAGAAAUUGCAAAAGUUCAAAUUCAGAGAUAUCUGUGCCUUUAACAAUAGAAUUAAAGUAGCAUUGGAAAGAUUCGUCUUGUCGCUGCUUCAAAAUCAAGAAGGAAUUUUUGCUGUGUUGAAUAAUCUGAAGACCCAAGAACAGCUUUAAUUUAAAUCGGUGACAAAUAGUAAUUGUCUUUCAAACACUCCGACAGUUGUAUUUAAAAUUAUAAUUUAAACAUAUUGUUGGGUAAAAUUUUAGUAACAUGCACAAAAAAUCCUUGCUAAUCUUUAGUUUUAGCUGUUACUAAUUAUAUGCUUUUGUAAAUUCUUUUUUCCUUUCUUUCUUGCUUUCUUUUUUCUAAUCUAACAGCAACUAAAAUAAAUUGUGGAUAGGGCCAGUCAUGGUGGCAUAUAUCUUUAUUCCCAGCACUUGGGAGGCAGGGGCAGGUUUGCCUUGAGUUAAGAGAACCUCCUGGUCUAUAGGGUUCCAGGCCACUUGUCUCAAAUGCAAACAAAUACGC